UACGUAGGUCCCGAGCGUUGUCCGGAUUUAUUGGGCGUAAAGCGAGCGCAGGUGGUUUAUUAAGUCUGGUGUAAAAGGCAGUGGCUCAACCAUGUAUGCAUUGGAAACUGGUAGACUUGAGUGCAGGAGAGGAGAGUGGAAUUCCAUGUGUAGCGGUGAAAUGCGUAGAUAUAUGGAGGAACACCGGUGGCGAAAGCGGCUCUCUGGCCUGUAACUGACACUGAGGCUCGAAAGCGUGGGGAGCAAACAGG
rnacentral:rRNA from 1 species